rnacentral:ncRNA from 2 species
GAAGACCACUAGGGGAGCCUUUUUAUGGCUGAGACGAGAGUUAUCUUGGACCCUUUGAACCUGAUCUAGUUCAUACUAGCGUAGGAAAGUGGAGUUCGUGUAUG